ACGGAGGAUGCAAGCGUUAUCCGGAUUUAUUGGGUUUAAAGGGUGCGUAGGCGGGAUAAUAAGUCAGUGGUGAAAGCCUGUAGCUUAACUAUAGAAUUGCCAUUGAUACUGUUGUCCUUGAGUACAGUUGAGGUAGGCGGAAUGUGUAAUGUAGCGGUGAAAUGCUUAGAUAUUACACAGAACACCGAUUGCGAAGGCAGCUUACUAAGCUGGUACUGACGCUGAGGCACGAAAGCGUGGGGAGCAAACAG
rnacentral:rRNA from 2 species